CUGAAUAACUACGCCGAUCGCACGGUCUCGUACCGGCGACAUAUCUUUCAAGUGUCUGCCUUAUCAACUUUCGAUGGUAGUUUAUGUGCCUACCAUGGUUGUAACGGGUAACGGAGAAUAAGGGUUCGACUCCGGAGAGGGAGCCUGAGAAACGGCUACCACAUCCAAGGAAGGCAGCAGGCGCGCAAAUUACCCACUCUCGGCACGAGGAGGUAGUGACGAAAAAUAACGAGACGGAUCUCUUUGAGGCCCGUUAUCGGAAUGAGAACAAUUCAAAUCCUUUAACGAGGAUCUAGCGGAGGGCAAGUCUGGUGCCAGCAGCCGCGGUAAUUCCAGCUCCGCAGGUGUAUAUCUAUGCUGCUGCGGUUAAAAAG
rnacentral:rRNA from 1 species